rnacentral:tRNA from 1 species
GGAAGCGUGCCCGAGAUCAGGGACUACCUUGAUAGAGUAGCCACAGGGCCAUCACCCUCACUUCCU